ensembl:lncRNA
GGCAGAGUAAUAAGGGUGGAAGAAUUCCUGGAGAUAACCAUUUGUCACCUCUCACUGCCUGGACUCCUUAGCACUCACCUUGCUGGGGUGUGUCCCGGUCCAGAAAUAACCACACCAAGUAGAGGACAGAGAAACACCAGAGCGAGGUACAGAGGAGGAAGAUGCCAACAAGGGAAAAGAGAGUGCCUGGAAGAAAGAUGAGAAAGAAAAAUGACUUCUAUCUUGAAACCACAACAACUGCUCCUUUCCUUCUCAAUGAGAUCCCUGGUCCUCUCCCAGCUGGACCUCUGGCCCUUCCCUCCUUUUGCCCUGGUGUCCAGAGCCCGUCCAGGUUGAGGACCGCUGGGAUCCAGGCCCCGCUCAGGAGUACAAGGAGCAAGGCAGCCAGACACCCCUGAGCUGGAGGUGGGGUGUGUGUGUGAGGACCCUGACUCCAGAGGUUUCGGAGUCCCAGGUCCCCCCUUUACCCUCUUUGCUGCUCCAUGGCUUCAGGCCCAUCUGUCCUGAAGGAAAUCACUGCUUUUCUCACUCCUUGAAGGAUCCCAUGCCAGGGAUCCCAGCCCCGCCUCCCUCCCACCUUGGCAUCAGGAAGCAGAGAGACAGGCCCAGGGUCCUCAGGGCUUCAGGGACUCACCAAGCUCCAAAAUGGAGAAGAUCCAUUGCAGGAGGCACACACCUGGAGAGCCAAGCGGAGAAGACUGGAGGAGACUGGCCUUCUGCAGAGGGGAGUCACGACACUCUGUCUCUAAGCUUUCUGUCUUUUCGCCCAAUCCUCUGGCCCUACCCCUGAUCUGGGUUAUGCCUUCUUUUCUGCCUCCUCUGAUGAUGAGCACACUGGACAACGGUGAGCCCUGGCAAGGAAGGUUAAUCACUAUUUGGCUUCACAGAGCUGUGACCAAAAGGGGAGGCCAGGGGUGUGACUGGGGAACCUGGGGGUGAGGAAAGUGCUUGGAUUUUGUGGAGGUCAGGACUGGUUCCCUGUUAUGACAGGCUGGGCCAGUGGGGGAUGACCUGUGUGUGUGUACCCUGAACAGCAGGGCUCCCCAUUUGUCACCCGGGCCUGACCCCUGAGGGGUAGAGGGCCCGCAGGAUGAGUUAUUCCCUAAGGAGCAGCUUAGGCCUCUGUGGGGAGACCUCCAGAAGGAAGGGCUUUGUGUGAAUGGCUAAGAAUUGGGGAGCCCCUCCAAGAGAGAGCCCAUCACUCCAAAUGACCCAAAUCCAUUCAUUUUGAUGGCUGAGAGUAUUCCAUUGUAUACACGUACCACCUGUUCUGUAUCCAUUAAUCUGUCAGUAAACAUUUACGGUGCUUCCAUAUCUUGGCUAUUGUAAACAGUACUGCAGUGAAUAUUGGGGUGCAUGUGUCCUUUCUGACGAUGUUCUUCUCCUGAUAAGGAGAGGGUGUGCAGGGACAUAUGGUAGCUCUAUUUUUAGAUUUUUAAGGAAACUUCAUGGUGUUUUCCUUAGUGGCUGGACCAAUUUACAUUCCCACCAACAGUCUAGGAGUCCCUUCUUUCCAAAAAACUCUGAAAAAUCCUUGAAAGGACCCAAGAGGGAAAGAAACUGACUUCAAAUAUCUGGAGUCCAUUGCUGUCUGAGGCCAAUGCAGUUAAGAACUUUGGGGGCCAUUUCCCCUCCUCUGCCCCACACACCAACCCACAGGGGACCAGUCACAGAAGCUGGAGAGGGAGGGAGAGAAAACACUUCCCUCCUUCCCUUUCUAUUCUCUCUUCCCCCAACUGCCACUUGUGGCCAAGCACGCACUCUGGAUGCAAUUAGUUGGCCCUUGCUGGGGAUGGGAAAUUGCUAUCCUCAGAUGAAGAUACAAGUGUUGAUUGAUACACCAACUAAACAUUUCUAGGUACCAACAUAAAGUGAAUGUAGAACCCAUCACCUGAGAAAUACCAGUGGUGAUGGGUCUGCAAGGGCACCAGGCCCCAGGACUUGGCUGAGAAGAGACCACGGCCCCAGAAGAUGUAAGGAGAAAUGCCCACGAACUUCUUGAUGGUGACCUGGUGACCUGGAACAGACGCUGCCAGGAGUCUGGGGCAAAAGCCUUAACUCUGAAGAUGUCAAGAGACGAGAGAAGAGGGCUAGUCACAUAAGGGGCUCUGGGAGGGCCCCCACAUUCUUCCUCCACAGGUUCCCACUUCCCAAGGC